rnacentral:rRNA from 1 species
UACGUAGGGGGCAAGCGUUAUCCGGAUUUACUGGGUGUAAAGGGAGCGUAGACGGCACGGCAAGCCAGAUGUGAAAGCCCGGGGCUCAACCCCGGGACUGCAUUUGGAACUGCUGAGCUAGAGUGUCGGAGAGGCAAGCGGAAUUCCUAGUGUAGCGGUGAAAUGCGUAGAUAUUAGGAGGAACACCAGUGGCGAAGGCGGCUUGCUGGACGAUGACUGACGUUGAGGCUCGAAAGCGUGGGGAGCAAACAGG